AACGAACGCUGGCGGCGUGCUUAACACAUGCAAGUCGUACGAGAAAGUUUCCUUCGGGAGACGAGUAGAGUGGCGCACGGGUGAGUAACACGUGGAUAAUCUGCCCAAUGAUCUGGGAUAACACUUCGAAAGGGGUGCUAAUACCGGAUAAGCCCACAGGCUCUUCGGAGCUUGCGGGAAAAGGUGGGGACCUUCGGGCCUACUGUCAUUGGAUGAGUCCGCGGCCCAUUAGCUAGUUGGUGGGGUAAUGGCCUACCAAGGCGACGAUGGGUAGCUGGUCUGAGAGGAUGAUCAGCCACACUGGAACUGAGACACGGUCCAGACUCCUACGGGAGGCAGCAGUGGGGAAUUUUGCGCAAUGGGGGAAACCCUGACGCAGCAACGCCGCGUGAGUGAUGAAGGCUUUCGGGUCGUAAAGCUCUGUCAGAAGGGAAGAAACUCAUAAAGGAUAAUACCCUUUGUGACUGACGGUACCUUCAAAGGAAGCACCGGCUAACUCCGUG
rnacentral:rRNA from 1 species